rnacentral:lncRNA from 1 species
GAUUCACAAGCUGCUUCAUGAACGGAAUAUUCACAGUGUCCUUUUUUGAUUGUUUGUUUUGAAAACAUAGUGGUUAUUUACCGCGACUGAUGCUGGCCGGUAGUUGAUAGCCAGGAUACUAACAAUUCACAAAAACAUUAUUUGUAAAACCUUUUAAAAACCAAUGGAUCAUCUUAGCACAAAGCCAUGAACAAAGAAAGGUCAAAACCAAAUCUAUAUACG